rnacentral:rRNA from 1 species
UACGGGGGGGGGCAAGCGUUGUUCGGAAUUACUGGGCGUAAAGGGCUCGUAGGCGGCCAACUAAGUCAGGCGUGAAAUCCCUCGGCUUAACCGGGGAACUGCGUCUGAUACUGGAUGGCUCGAGUUUGGGAGAGGGAUGCGGAAUUCCAGGUGUAGCGGUGAAAUGCGUAGAUAUCUGGAGGAACACCGGUGGCGAAGGCGGCAUCCUGGACCAACACUGACGCUGAUGAGCGAAAGCCAGGGGAGCAAACGGG